rnacentral:rRNA from 1 species
AUUGAACGCUGGCGGCAGGCCUAACACAUGCAAGUCGAACGGUAACAGGAAGCAGCUUGCUGCUUUGCUGACGAGUGGCGUACGGGUGAGUUAUGUCUGUGACACUUCCCGAUGGAGGGGGAUAACUACUGGAAACAGUAGCUACUACCGCAUAACGUCGCAAGACCAAAGAGGGGGACCUUAGGGCCUCUUGCUAUCGGCUGUGCCCAGAUGGGAUUAGCUAGUAGGUGGGGUAACGGCUCACCUAGGCGACGAUCCCUAGCUGGUCUGAGAGGAUGACCAGCCACACUGGAACUGAGACACGGUCCAGACUCCUACGGGAGGCAGCAGUGGGGAAUAUUGCACAAUGGGCGCAAGCCUGAUGCAGCCAUGCCGCGUGUAUGAAGAAGGCCUUCGGGUUGUAAAGUACUUUCAGCGGGGAGGAAGGGAGUAAAGUUAAUACCUUUGCUCAUUGACGUUACCCGAAGAAGAAGCACCGGCUAACUCCGUG